CACAUAAAAUGUAACACUGCAGACUUGGGGAAGCCAGCCAACCUUGGAGAUCUGAGUGUGAG
rnacentral:snoRNA from 1 species